UACGUAGGUGGCAAGCGUUGUCCGGAUUUAUUGGGUUUAAAGGGUGCGUAGGCGGCAUUUUAAGUCAGUGGUGAAAUACUUCAGCUUAACUGGAGAGGUGCCAUUGAUACUGGGAUGCUUGAGUACUGAUGAGGUAGGCGGAAUGGACGGUGUAGCGGUGAAAUGCUUAGAUAUCGUCCAGAACACCGAUAGCGAAGGCAGCUUACUAAGGAGUAACUGACGCUGAGGCACGAAAGUGUGGGGAUCAAGCAGG
rnacentral:rRNA from 1 species